rnacentral:rRNA from 2 species
GCUACCAUGCAAGUCGAACGGUAGCACAGAGAGCUUGCUCUCGGGUGACGAGUGGCGGACGGGUGAGUAAUGUCUGGGAAACUGCCUGAUGGAGGGGGAUAACUACUGGAAACGGUAGCUAAUACCGCAUAACGUCGCAAGACCAAAGAGGGGGACCUUCGGGCCUCUUGCCAUCAGAUGUGCCCAGAUGGGAUUAGCUAGUAGGUGGGGUAACGGCUCACCUAGGCGACGAUCCCUAGCUGGUCUGAGAGGAUGACCAGCCACACUGGAACUGAGACACGGUCCAGACUCCUACGGGAGGCAGCAGUGGGGAAUAUUGCACAAUGGGCGCAAGCCUGAUGCAGCCAUGCCGCGUGUGUGAAGAAGGCCUUCGGGUUGUAAAGUACUUUCAGCGGGGAGGAAGGUGUUGUGGUUAAUAACCUCAGCAAUUGACGUUACCCGCAGAAGAAGCACCGGCUAACUCCGUGCCAGCAGCCGCGGUAAUACGGAGGGUGCAAGCGUUAAUCGGAAUUACUGGGCGUAAAGCGCACGCAGGCGGUCUGUCAAGUCGGAUGUGAAAUCCCCGGGCUCAACCUGGGAACUGCAUUCGAAACUGGCAGGCUAGAGUCUUGUAGAGGGGGGUAGAAUUCCAGGUGUAGCGGUGAAAUGCGUAGAGAUCUGGAGGAAUACCGGUGGCGAAGGCGGCCCCCUGGACAAAGACUGACGCUCAGGUGCGAAAGCGUGGGGAGCAAACAGGAUUAGAUACCCUGGUAGUCCACGCCGUAAACGAUGUCGAUUUGGAGGUUGUGCCCUUGAGGCGUGGCUUCCGGAGCUAACGCGUUAAAUCGACCGCCUGGGGAGUACGGCCGCAAGGUUAAAACUCAAAUGAAUUGACGGGGGCCCGCACAAGCGGUGGAGCAUGUGGUUUAAUUCGAUGCAACGCGAAGAACCUUACCUGGUCUUGACAUCCACAGAACUUUCCAGAGAUGGAUUGGUGCCUUCGGGAACUGUGAGACAGGUGCUGCAUGGCUGUCGUCAGCUCGUGUUGUGAAAUGUUGGGUUAAGUCCCGCAACGAGCGCAACCCUUAUCCUUUGUUGCCAGCGGUUAGGCCGGGAACUCAAAGGAGACUGCCAGUGAUAAACUGGAGGAAGGUGGGGAUGACGUCAAGUCAUCAUGGCCCUUACGACCAGGGCUACACACGUGCUACAAUGGCGCAUACAAAGAGAAGCGACCUCGCGAGAGCAAGCGGACCUCAUAAAGUGCGUCGUAGUCCGGAUUGGAGUCUGCAACUCGACUCCAUGAAGUCGGAAUCGCUAGUAAUCGUAGAUCAGAAUGCUACGGUGAAUACGUUCCCGGGCCUUGUACACACCGCCCGUCACACCAUGGGAGUGGGUUGCAAAAGAAGUAGGUAGCUUAACCUUCGGGAGGGCGCUACCACUUGGU